ACAAUAUGUAGCUCUACCUGUCAGUGUCAAGAUGGCUACUAUGAUACAGAUGGUACUGGAAAUAUUGGAGGACAGUGUAGUGCAAAGAAAGACCUAGGAGAAACAUGUACGGAUGUCUCCCAAUGUAGUGACACAAAUACGAUAUGUAGCUCUACCUGUCAGUGUAAAGUUGGCUACUAUGAUACAGAUGGUACUGGAAAUAUUGGAGGACAGUGUAGUGCAAAGAAAGACCUAGGAGAAACAUGUACGGAUGCCUCCCAAUGUAGUGACACAAAUACGAUAUGUAGCUCUACCUGUCAGUGUAAAGUUGGCUACUAUGAUACAGAUGGUACUGGAAAUAUUGGAGGACAGUGUAAUGCAA